rnacentral:rRNA from 1 species
CCUACGGGUGGCAGCAGUGAGGAAUAUUGGUCAAUGGCCGCAAGGCUGAACCAGCCAAGUAGCGUGAGGGAUGACGGUCCUACGGAUUGUAAACCUCUUUUAUCAGGGAGCAAAGUGCGCCACGUGUGCCUCUUUGCGUGUACCUGAUGAAUAAGCAUCGGCUAACUCCGUGCCAGCAGCCGCGGUAAUACGGAGGAUGCGAGCGUUAUCCGGAUUUAUUGGGUUUAAAGGGUGCGCAGUGGGAAUGUAAAGUCAGCGGUAAAAUUUCGGGGCUCAACCCCGUCGUGCCGUUGAAACUGGCGUUCUUGAGUGAGCGAGAGGUAUGCGGAAUGCGUGGUGUGGCGGUGAAAUGCAUAGAUAUCACGCAGAACUCCGAUUGCGAAGGCAGCAUACCGGCGCUCAACUGACGCUCAUGCACGAAAGCGUGGGUAUCGAACAGGAUUAGAUACCCCAGUAGUC